AUACGUAGGCAGCAAGCGUUGUUCGGAGUUACUGGGCGUAAAGAGUGCGUAGGUGGUUCUCUAAGUUCGGUGUGAAAUCUCCCGGCUCAACUGGGAGGGUGCGCCGAAAACUGGAGGGCUUGAGUAUGGGAGAGGAGAGCGGAAUUCCUGGUGUAGCGGUGAAAUGCGUAGAUAUCAGGAGGAAUACCGGUGGCGAAGGCGACUUUCUGGACGAAUACUGACGCUGAUGCGCGAAAGCGUGGGGAGC
rnacentral:rRNA from 1 species